rnacentral:rRNA from 1 species
UCGAGAGUUUGAUCCUGGCUCAGAACGAACGCUGGCGGCAGGCUUAACACAUGCAAGUCGAGCGCCCCGCAAGGGGAGCGGCAGACGGGUGAGUAACGCGUGGGAAUCUACCCAUCUCUACGGAAUAACGCAUGGAAACGUGUGCUAAUACCGUAUACGUCCUUUUGGAGAAAGAUUUAUCGGAGAUGGAUGAGCCCGCGUUGGAUUAGCUAGUUGGUGGGGUAAAGGCCUACCAAGGCGACGAUCCAUAGCUGGUCUGAGAGGAUGAUCAGCCACACUGGGACUGAGACACGGCCCAGACUCCUACGGGAGGCAGCAGUGGGGAAUAUUGGACAAUGGGCGCAAGCCUGAUCCAGCCAUGCCGCGUGAGUGAUGAAGGCCCUAGGGUUGUAAAGCUCUUUCACCGGUGAAGAUAAUGACGGUAACCGGAGAAGAAGCCCCGGCUAACUUCGUGCCAGCAGCCGCGGUAAUACGAAGGGGGCUAGCGUUGUUCGGAUUUACUGGGCGUAAAGCGCACGUAGGCGGACUAUUAAGUCAGGGGUGAAAUCCCGGGGCUCAACCCCGGAACUGCCUUUGAUACUGGUAGUCUUGAGUUCGAGAGAGGUGAGUGGAAUUCCGAGUGUAGAGGUGAAAUUCGUAGAUAUUCGGAGGAACACCAGUGGCGAAUGCGGCUCACUGGCUCGAUACUGACGCUGAUGUGCGAAAGCGUGGGGAGCAAACAGGAUUAGAUAC